rnacentral:lncRNA from 10 species
GACCCUGUCAGCAGCUGCCUCUUCUGGGAUGGCCAGGCUGAAGUCCCCAGGGGUGAAUCCACCUGUUCAGCUCCUUGCUUCCUGCCACCAGCUAUUGGUCCUGGGCUGACCUAUGGUGUGGUGCCUUUGGAAUCACGUGACCACCAGGCAUCGUCACAUGUUGUCAAACAUGGCUACCUACACCACCAUCAUAGAAGAGAUGGAAGUGAGUUCUUCUGCAGCACCCCAGAGCCGGCCUGCAGUCAGGAAGGCCUCCCCAGAGGCAUCCACGAAGCUGCCUGCCAACCUGGGUGCCCCAGGCAUGGGCCCCUCUAAGCCUGCCCUAGGAGGAGAACAGUUUGUGUGACACAGGGGGCGGAGGCUGGGUCUGAAUCUUUUUUUUUUUUUUUUUGAAACAGAGUUCGCUGUGUCGCCCAGGCUGGAGUGCAGUGGUGCAAUCUCACCUCACUGCAACCUCCGCCUCCCGAGUUCAAGCGAUUCUCCUGCCUUAGCCUCUCUAGUAGCUGGGAUUGCAGGUGUGCACCAUCACGCCUGGCUAAUUUUUGUAUUUUUUAGCAGAGACGGGGUUUCUCCAUAUUGGGCAGGCUGGUCUGAACUCCUGACCUCAGGUGAUUCGCCCACCUCAGCCUCUCAAAAUGCUGGGAUUACAAGCGUGAGCCACCGCGCCCAGCUGGGUCUGAAUCUUUAACAGUUCCCCUCCGCUCCUGGAGCCCCUCCCACAGCCAGCCCUUGCUCACCAGCGGGGGAACCAACAGCCCCUUCCUCACCCUCCUGGGGGUUGGGGUCUCUCUCCACAAUACCAGUGCCGGGACGCAUCCCUCGUCUUCUCUGCUCCUUUCCGUUGUCCGGAGGCCUAGGCCCAGUCAUCCAGCCAGCCUCCACCCAGCUCCUCUCCCUGCACACAAAGACUGACCCCAUCAAGCUGCACUUCCUGAAACACACCCACAAACCAGAAACUCAGCCUCCCCUUUGCCCGCAGGAUGCCCAUGGGCAAAACUGUCACCAAGAGAAGAGAGGAGGGGCCCAAACCGGCUCUGUCUCUGUGGAGAAAGAGCCUGCCUAGGGCUGGACCCUGGUUGUGUGGCUUCAGAACACCCUGGCCAGGAGUGACACUGAUGGAUCACUCACCCUCCUGCCGACUGCACAGCCCCGUCCUGGACUCUGGCAGACCACGAGCACUGGCUUCCCAGCAGAACCUGGCUUGACCCCAACAAGGCAGACAUUGUGACGUUCACCCAUGUAGAGAUGUAGAGAGAGCCAUCUCAGACCGCUGACCUCCGCAACCAGCAGAUAAUCAGCAUCUUGUUUAAGACUAAGUUAACUUUAAGACUAAGUUUGGGCCGGGCGUGGUGGCUCACGCCUGUAAUCCCAGCACUUUGGGAGGCUGAGGCGGGCGGAUCACAAGUUCAGGAGAUCGAGACCAUCCUGGUUAACACGGU